rnacentral:rRNA from 1 species
UCGGGAAUUUUGGGCAAUGGGGGAAACCCUGACCCAGCAACGCCGCGUGAAGGAUGAAGUAUUUCGGUAUGUAAACUUCGAAAGAAUAGGAAGAAUUAAUGACGGUACUAUUUAUAAGGUCCGGCUAACUACGUGCCAGCAGCCGCGGUAAUACGUAGGGACCAAGCGUUGUUCGGAUUUACUCGGGCGUAAAGGGCGCGUAGGCGGCGCGGUAAGUCACUUGUGAAAUCUCUGAGCUUAACUCAGAACGGCCAAGUGAUACUGCAGUGCUAGAGUGUGGAAGGGGCAAUCGGAAUUCUUGGUGUAGCGGUGAAAUGCGUAGAUAUCAAGAGGAACACCUGAGGUGAAGACGGGUUGCUGGGCCAACACUGACGCUGAGGCGCGAAAGCCAGGGGAGCAAACGGGAUUAGAUACCCCGGUAGUCCUGGCCCUAAACGAUGAAUACUUGGUGUCUGGAGUUUUAAUGCUCCGGGUGCCGUCGCUAACGUUUUUAGUAUUCCGCCUGGGGAGUAC